AGGAAUGGGUCACCGUACAAAGCCACACCAAGCCAGCCAAAUCUACCGUUCUCUUCUCGAUCUCCUCCACCAUGCCUUAGAAAUGGUGGUUUUAGUAGUUCUCUCUCUCUCUCUCUUUCUCUCUUCACUGUCCAUGGCUAAAGAAGCCUAGCUCAGCCACCAUCACUCUCUUUCUCCAUGAAGGUUUAGCUCACCCAUCAAACAUCAUUUGGAAAGCGGCGUCUGAAUUUUUAAAGUUGGGAUAUGGUCUUCUGCAACGGAAUGGUAUUUGAACAACGCUUUGGAUUGUAUAAUGAAAGGGUAGAAAAGCAAGCUUUUAUUUGCUUGGCCUCAUAUAGCAAUAUUUCUUGAUGAUGAAUACAAGACCGAUCAAAUUAACGAUGUCGCUUUAGGGAAUUUACUUUUUUUGAUUUGCAGUUGAUGAUGCUAUGAGCAAGUCAGAAAUUGGCUUGCCCACCACUCCAUGCAAGCUUGAACUCCUCAAGGAUGCGCUGGGUAUAAUCUAUUAUUGUUGUAGGAGACAACUUGUUAUGUUCUAAUUUUCCAUAUUUUGGCAUGACAAAUGACACCAAUCUUGUUAUGUGGUUUGUUCACUGCAGUCAAAACAUUGUAUUUUCUUUCCCCUUUUAGGAUUAAUUAACUUGGUAUGUGUGUACUGUUGAAAAAAUAGAAUACGUUGCUGAAAA